AUUGAACGCUGGCGGCAGGCCUAACACAUGCAAGUCGAACGGUAACAGAAAGCAGCUUGCUGCUUUGCUGACGAGUGGCGGACGGGUGAGUAAUGUCUGGGAAACUGCCUGAUGGAGGGGGAUAACUACUGGAAACGGUAGCUAAUACCGCAUAACGUCGCAAGACCAAAGAGGGGGACCUUCGGGCCUCUUGCCAUCGGCUGUGCCCAGAUGGGAUUAGCUAGUAGGUGGGGUAACGGCUCACCUAGGCGACGAUCCCUAGCUGGUCUGAGAGGAUGACCAGCCACACUGUAACUGAGACACGGUCCAGACUCCUACGGGAGGCAGCAGUGGGGAAUAUUGCACAAUGGGCGCAAGCCUGAUGCAGCCAUGCCGCGUGUAUGAAGAAGGCCUUCGGGUUGUAAAGUACUUUCAGCGGGGAGGAAGGGAGUAAAGUUAAUACCUUGGCUCAUUGACGUUACCCGCAGAAGAAGCACCGGCUAACUCCGUG
rnacentral:rRNA from 1 species